rnacentral:rRNA from 1 species
UAAGACGAACCGAGCGAACGUUGUUCGGAAUCACUGGGCUUAAAGGGCGCGUAGGCGGGUGCUCAAGUCUGUGGUGAAAUCCUCCGGCUCAACCGGAGAACUGCCAUGGAUACUGGGUGUCUCGAGGGUGGUAGGGGUAUGCGGAACUAUCGGUGGAGCGGUGAAAUGCGUUGAUAUCGAUAGGAACUCCGGUGGCGAAGGCGGCAUACUGGACCACUUCUGACGCUGAGGCGCGAAAGCCAGGGGAGCAAACGGGAUUAGAUACCCCGGUAGUCCUGGCCCUAAACGAUGGGAACUAGCUAGUAGGGUUCACAUGGCUUUACUGGCGAAGCAAAAGUGCUAAGUUCCCCGCCUGGGGAGUAUGGUCGCAAGGCUG